GUUACACGAGGUCCUUUAUUGUAUUCCGUCCAUCAAAAAGACAUUCGCAACAAAACGUUGAAUCAAGUAAUGUCAUUUAAAUGUCACAUUAAGAAACUUUUGUUUUGGUUUUUCAUCUCCCAACGAGAUUUGACCAUAUUUUACGUACAGUUGAGUCUUCUAGUUCAUCAAAAUACAUUUCUUUUAAUAAUUUGAUGCGAACGGUAUAACAUGGACAGAUUUUUAUGUAGCGAUCGUUACUUUGGGACAGUAUAUUGUUGAUGUGAUGUUAUAUAAGAAAAUUAAAACAGUCUAAUAUAGUAAUGAAGGGGCGCUCAUUACUAUAUAUAUUUGAAGAUGCAGUCCUCCAGAACUAACAGAGACGAUAAAUUUUUCAAACAUUAAAAUAUUUUAAAGCUU